rnacentral:rRNA from 1 species
CACGUAGGGCGCAAGCGUUUGUCCGGAAUUAUUGGGCGUAAAGAGCUCGUAGGCGGUCUGUUGCGUCCGCUGUGAAAACUCGGGGCUUAACCCCGAGCCUGCAGUGGAUACGGGCAGACUAGAAGUAGGUAGGGGAGAAUGGAAAUUCCCGGUGUAGCGGUGAAAUGCGCAGAUAUCGGGAGGAACACCGGUGGCGAAGGCGGUUCUCUGGGCCUUACC